GAUGAACGCUAGCUACAGGCUUAACACAUGCAAGUCGAGGGGCAGCAUGAAGUUUGCUUGCAAACUUUGAUGGCGACCGGCGCACGGGUGAGUAACGCGUAUCCAACCUUCCCUAUAGUAGAGAAUAGCCCGGCGAAAGUCGAAUUAAUGCUCUAUGUUCUUCUUUGAUGGCAUCUGACGAGAAGCAAAGGUUCACCGCUAUAGGAUGGGGAUGCGUCUGAUUAGGUUGUUGGCGGGGUAACGGCCCACCAAGCCUACGAUCAGUAGGGGUUCUGAGAGGAAGGUCCCCCACAUUGGUACUGAGACACGGACCAAACUCC
rnacentral:rRNA from 1 species